UACAGAGGUCUCAAGCGUUGUUCGGAUUCAUUGGGCGUAAAGGGUGCGUAGGUGGCAUAGUAAGUCGGAUGUGAAAUCCCGGGGCUCAACCCCGGAACUGCAUUCGAUACUGCUGCGCUAGAGUACUGGAGAGGAGAUUGGAAUUUACGGUGUAGCAGUGAAAUGCGUAGAUAUCGUAAGGAAGACCAGUGGCGAAGGCGGAUCUCUGGACAGUUACUGACACUGAGGCACGAAGGCCAGGGGAGCAAACGGG
rnacentral:rRNA from 1 species